rfam:Yersinia pseudotuberculosis YPIII, complete genome.
GCGAAUUGCUACGAUAUCAUUAUAAUGCCCAACCUUAGUGCUGAUCGCCGUGCCAGUUUCGUCGUAAAAAGGUGACAAAUCGGUAGCAGCAGGUUAUUUUUU